GUGUGUGUGUGAGAGGGAGUGUGUGUGAGAGGGAGUGUGUGUGUGAGAGGGAGUGUGUGUGUGAGAGAGAGAGGGUGUGUGUGUGUGUGAGAGGGAGUGUGUGUGUGUGUGAGGGAGAGUGUGUGUGUGUGAGGAAGUCUGUGUGUGUGUGUGAGGGAGUCUGUGUGUGUGUGUGUGAGAGAGGCUUUGUGUGUGAGAGAGGCUUUGUGUGUGAGAGAGGCUUUGUGUGUGAGAGAGGCUUUGUGUGUGUGAGAGGCUGUGUGUGUGUGAGAGGAAGUGUGUGUGUGUGUGUGUGUGAGAGAGGGAGUGUGUGUGAGAGAGGGAGUGUGUGUGUGAGAGAGAGUGUGUAUGUGUGUGUGAGAGGGGGAGUGUGUGUGUGUGAGAGAGGGAGUGUGUGUGUGUGAGAGAGGGAGUGUGUGUAUGUGUGAGUGAAAGAGGG
ensembl:lncRNA